ensembl:lncRNA
GCUAGCUGCCAGCCAAACUGAAGCAUGCUGACGCCUUUAGCCCCCUCAAUCUCCUGUUGUAUUGGAGGCUGGAGGCCAGCCAGUGGUAGGUCAAUAAGAGGCCUGUAGAUCUGAGGAGGGACAAGCGGUUUGUUUGGUGAGGGAUCUGACAGGCUUUAGAACUUCCGUCAGACCAGUGUUACUGCUGGCUGGAGCAAUAACUAACACAGACUAUGUCAACAUUCAAUGGUACACUAUUACAUAUAUAGCCUGUACUGGCUAAACUGUCCAAUAUAAUUGCCCCAAUACAAUUUCCAUCCUAAUCCUUUAGCCACAGUAAGGCAGUGGUGACGUGUUAGUCUUGACGCAUACAAAUCCAUUGUGCAGGGGUUGAUACACACCAGCCCCAAUUAUAUUUGGUGUAAAAUCAGAACAAUUCCUUACUUAACUUGAAAGUGCCUUACUCUUAGACUGCACCUUCUUGCAGUAGGCAGAUCUUGGAUAUCGGCCUUUCCAUAAUGUUGGUACUUGUCUUCAGGUGUACUGCACAUACUAACCCCCUGGAGUCAGUUUCAAUAACUUUUCCAAGUAUCCAUGCACUUCGUGGUGCCAUGGGGUCCACCAGCAGGACCACAUCUCUCCUUCACGGAGGCAGCGUUUCACUUUGCCCCACUUUUGCAUUUCUUGUAAGACUAGCAGGUACUUCUCUGUCCAUCUCUUCCUAAAAGAAUCUGCCAUGUACUGGACUUGUUUCCAACGCCGUCUGAUGUACAGAUCUGUUUUUUCGACAUUAACAGUGAAAUGUGAUUUGGGGUAAGGGCUUCUAGAUCCAGGGGGUCAUUGGUUACCAUGGUGAUUGGGUAGCUGUUUAGAAUGGCCUCUACUUCACACAGAAUGGAGCACCUGGCCAAUCAUCCCAAUGAGCCUUUCCCAGACUCCUCCGUGGUGGGACGCCCCAGGGGGAUUGAAAUUUAUUGUAUUUCUUCCUGAGGUAGAGCAUCUUGGAUCUUGCCUUGGUUUAAAGCAGAUAGAGCUUCUCUAAGGUCUCUCUCAGUACCAAUAAAGUUAGUUCCAUUAUCAGAUCUGACAUGUUUUUUAAAUGUGUUUUUUACAUUUCCUCUUCCCUUUUUGAUUUCUAUAGGACCAAAGUAAUCCACACCUACGUUGGUAAAUGGUGGGAUGUCUGUCAUGAUCCUUUCAAGCGGCAGAUCUUCCAUCUUCUGCUCAGCAAUCUUGCCUCGUUGCCUUCUGCACACAACACACUCUGAGAUGAUCAUAGGGCUCUGGUGAAAAGUAGUGCACUGUGUAGGGAAUAAGGUGCCAUUUGGGAUGCAACUUAAAACGAAUAUCAGGGUGAUAACAGAGAGGUGUGGUGGAUGCUCGAUCCUCAGUCUAACGUCUCUGGAGUAUGGAAGGAAAGGUGGUGGAGGCUCGAUCCUCAGUCUAACGUCUCUGGGAAGGAAAGGUGGUGGAGGCUCGAUCCUCAGUCUAACGUCUCUGGAGUAUGGAAGGAAAGGUGGUGGAUGCUCGAUCCUCAGUCUAACGUCUCUGGAGUAUGGAAGGAAAGGUGGUGGAUGCUCG